GGCUAACUCCGUGCCAGCCGCCGCGGUAAUACGGGGGAUGCAAGCGUUAUCCGGAAUCAUUGGGCGUAAAGCGCCUGUAGAUUGUUUAGUAAGUUCGUUGUUAAAGACUAGGGCUUAACCCUAGGAAAGCGAUGGAAACUACUAGGCUUGAGUAUGGUAGGGGUAGAGGGAAUUUCUAGUGUAGUGGUGAAAUGCGUAGAUAUUAGAAAGAACACCGGYGGCGAAAGCGCUCUACUGGGCCAUUACUGACAYUGAGAGGCGAAAGCUAGGGGAGCAAAAGGGAUUAGAUACCCCUGUAGUCCUAGCCGUAAACGAUGGGUACUAGGUGUUGUGUUUUAUAUACAGUAUCGUAGCUAACGCGUUAAGUACCCCGCCUGGGGAGUACGCUCGCAAGGGUGAAACUCAAAGGAAUUGACGGGGGCCCGCACAAGCGGUGGAGCAUGUGGUUUAAUUCGAUGCAACGCGAAGAACCUUACCAGAACUUGACAUACUACGGAUCUUUUGGAGACAAAAGAGUGCCUUCGGGAAUGUAGAUACAGGUGGUGCAUGGCUGUCGUCAGCUCGUGUCGUGAGAUGUUGGGUUAAGUCCCGCAACGAGCGCAACCCUCGUUUUUAGUUGCCAAUUUAUUGGGAUUUCUGGAAAGACUGCCGGUGAUAAACCGGAGGAAGGUGAGGAUGACGUCAAGUCAGCAUGCCCCUUAUGUUCUGGGCUACACACGUGCUACAAUGACAAAGACAAAGAGUUGCAAAUUCGCGAGAACUAGCU
rnacentral:rRNA from 1 species